AGUGUUUUUAUUAAUAUUUAUUAAUCACAAUUUUUACAUUUCUGAAAUACAAUAAAAUCACCUUCUUCAAGAGACACGUUUUAUGACGCUUAGAAUAAUGAAAAAAAAAAAAAAGGUUCCUGUCAUGACCCCUCCCAUCUGACCUUCCUUCAGCCAAUCAUACUCCCUUCUGUCUUCAUUGCUUUUUUCCUCUCUGAAAAAAACCCUCUCGGACUUCAUGCUGCUGAAUGUUACAGAAUUUGCCAACUGAAGUGGAGAAUCUAACAGAAAAUGAGACCACAAAGGGUGAAAAUCAAACCUGCAGAUGAGGCAGCACAUUUUUCAUCCAUUGGUAUAGAUAAGGAUGGUUUUGAUGUGAAAUAUAUCAACUUAUUCAAAGGUCGAGGAGUGUUUAGUAGAUGCCACUUUCAGAAGGGAGAGUUUCUCAUAGAAUACCGAGGAGAUGUUAUAAGCAAACAGGAACAUGAAAGCAGAAUGAAACUGUAUCAUGAUGCGUUAAAGGUCUUCAUGUUUGAAUUUCGCUUCAAUGGAAAACAGCUAUGUAUUGAUGCAGCAAAAGACGAUGGCUCUCUAGGGAGACUAGUUAAUGAUGACCAUGUGAGCCCAAAUGCCAAAAUGAAGAUGAUCAGGGUAAAUGGACAACCUCAUCUCUGCUUAUUUGCUAUUAAGGACAUCAAGCCAGGAGAAGAGAUAACCUACAAUUAUGGAGACUCUGAAUGGCCAUGGAGA